UUAUGUAAUCAAUUUACCAUAGGAACUUACUGAACUAAGUGAAGACAUGGAAUGCCUACAGGGAAUUUCUUGGUAGAGGAAAACAAGAAAACAAGUAAUAUCAGACUGAAAUUUUCAGCCAGGUGGUCAUAUGUUCCUAUAGUUCAGAUGUCAUUUUUGCAAAUUAACUACAAACAUUUACCCUUCUACCAUCAUUCACUUCCAUUUUUUGCCAAAUCUUAAAACAUUUUUUUCCCCAAAAAAGAAAACACAUCAUGAGCAUCACUCAGUACUCACCCCAAAAUACUUACAGUUCAACUUUACAUGCGUACUUCAGACUACUGUUCUUUCAGAAAACACCAUUCACUGUAGCAGUGAGACUCUUAAAUACAUGCUACUGACUAAAAGCAGACAGACAUAAACAAGAACCUUCCUUAAGGUGCUCAUUUCUAAUCUUCAUAAUCACGAAACAUUUUACUCUACACAAGUGUGUAUCUAGAUAAAUCUAUAAUCAACUAGACUUAUAACUACCGACUCCUCAAAACUUCUUAACAGAAUACUGUUUGGAAAGUCUAUCGACUUUCACCUACCGACAGAAAAGUAGAAAAUCUCUUUUAAUAAGGAGUUCUCAUGCUAGAUAUUUCUGUUCCUAUUAUCUAAAGCUAAUGAUUCCUUUGUCUGAAACGUAUCCUUUCUUUACAUGUCAAACACUUUUUUGUAGAUGAUUGUCAUCAAAGAACAUAAGAAAAAUUAGGUGACUAAAGUUGAAAAUAGGAAUAAUAAAAGACAAGGGUCAAAUGGCAGUGAUUAAUACCAUAGUGAUAUUUACCUUUAUUUGCUAUUAACAAUAAAUUUCCUUUGACUUUGCUUUACAGAUUCUAUGCAAAAUGGAACACACAUAAGAGAAAAAAAUACGGGAUCUGCAGAAAAUGCAAGCUGACAAAACAUUAAAACAAACAUGGACCUCAGAAAGAAGAGCAACUACUUGUUCUCACUCACAUUCCAUGACAGUAAGACCCCACUUUCCUGUGGGGAGCAGGUGUAGCUAUCACCUCCCUUUUGGCAGUUUGUUUCAGCCAAGGAGUUAUAACUGCAGCUGUUCAGCUGACAGCAAUUACCACUGGCAAUGGUUGUUAUAUGUGGAUCUCACCUUCUAAAGAUUUCCUCCCAAGAGAGUUGAUGUGCUG
ensembl:lncRNA